rnacentral:rRNA from 1 species
UGGGCUUGACAUUUUGUGAACGUCUAAGAGAUUAGACAGUAAGUGGGGAGCACAGAGAC